GUCUACAUGCUUUAGUGUUGUGCCUAUUUGGUAGCAGCAGCAGUGAGUGAGCAAGUCUAUAAGGGAAAACCAAACAAACUGAAUGAGUUUGAGAGAGGUUCAAGUUCAGGAGGAGUCACUCUUUGAGGCCUGGAAAAGCAGAGGAGGGUUCAAAUCCAGGAGGAGGCAGUUCUGCAGCAUCAAGGUGGAGGAGGAGAAGUAAAACAACAAGAGGGAUGAGAUGACCUCAGCCUACAAGACUCCCACCAUAGACCUUCCUUCAAAGUCACCUACCUGGUCAUUCCUGCCUUUAGUCCACUAGUCUCCACACAUUCAUGCCUUUUGGAUCUGUGAGUUAUGAGAGCAUACUCGUUUUACCAAUGUACAAGGACUGGAAAACCACUGACCUAAAGAAGGGAGGAUUGAUGUGUUUCCAUCUGUGACGUUACUUCCAGGAUUAGACCACCCGGAAUUGCCUCUUCC